CUCAUUAGCUUAAGAAAUUGCGAAUCUCAAAAUUCUUUCGAAUCCCCCGUCUCAUAUUCAGCUUUCAUCCACAUUUACGAGAACCAAUUCCAAACUCAAAUCUUUCAAUUACAUAUAUUCAUCUCUUUAUUCUCAAGGAUCAGCCAAUUCACUCUAUAUGUAUCUCUGUGUCUGGUUCAUCCAUUUUUUCUCCAGAAGAAUAAAAAUCAAUUUUUUUUUAGCUUUUAUGAUUCCAUACUCUUAUCUCUCUCCCUCCAUCUCCGCCGAUUCCAUCUCUUAAUUUUCCCCUUUCCCUGUAAAAGAAAGAGCCUUUCUGCUCCUCCUUCAAUUCCACCAUAAAACCCUGGAAGCAAGCUCCAUCCUUUAACUUCGUAAUGUCAAAAUCUCAUCUUUGUUUCCUCUGUUUCCUCCUCACUAAACUUCGCAGCGUCUCCGACCAGCGUCGACGCGGAACUAUGCAAGCCCUCAAAUCGAGCCUAAACCUCAGUAAAGACAUAGACUGGUCCAACCCCAAACCUUGUAAAUGGCCAACCGUUUAAUGCGAGACAAGCAACAGAGUCACGAGAAUCCAACUCAAAACCAAAGGAAUCUGAGGAACCCUCCCUCCGAAACUCCAAACCCUCACAGAGCUAAUUGUCCUGGAGCUUUUCCAGAACCGAAUCUCCGGUCCGAACCCCGAUCUCUCCGGUUUAACCCGGUUACAGACCCUGAACCUCCACGACAACCUCUUCGACUUUGUCCACAAGAAGCUUACCUCGAGAACAACCCUUUCUCUCCCUGGGAGAUGACCAUGGACAAGCAGAAGACCGGGUUAGCCAUCCACAUUUGCCACAAGUCUAGCUAAUUUUCUAUUUUUUUAACUUAUGUACGUAUAUAGCAACAUACACUUGGUAAAUACUUUGCUACCAUUCAAUUUUAUCUGUCAUCUACAAUGUCUAGACAGACAAUGACUCUGCUUGUAUUGCUAAUGGUUUGUUUGUACUAUCAGAUAAGCUUGCAUCUGAAUCGUAUGUCAACUGGACUUAGUCUGCCAAAUAGAUGUAUAGCCUGCCUCUUCUUUUGUUUGCUUGCUAAUUGUUUUAUUAUCCUCUAUGUUUCUAUUUUACAGUGUCGUAAAUGUUGGUUCUCUUAGUCUUGUUUUAUUAUCCUCUGUUUGAUGGCAGGUACUUUUCUACAAGUUAUGAUUUUCUAUCUACUAGUUAUGAACGUAUAGAAACUUUGCUUCCUCAGUUGUGCUUCAGUUGUUCUGAUAUAUGAAAAUUCUUGUUAUUUUGAGAGAUAGAGAAAGAUCUGAACCAAAGCCAGGCCUGAAGUAAUGGGGGGGAAAAGGCAAAAAGGCAACGUUCAUUUCAGGAACAGAGGCUGCAAAGAAGUGUUUGAUUGUUUUCAAUUUUCAAUAGUUUUAGGAGUGUUCUAUUGUUUUUACCACCAUCGUCACCACCAUUGUCGUCCGACACCACGACCACAACAGUUCGACCUCUCUGCCUCUCUCUCAAUCUGUUUUGAACUCAUUUUGUCGUGAGCAGAGUUGGUGGUCGUGAGCAGAGGAUCAGUUCCUUGCCUCUCCUUGGGGUUGAUCAAUUCUAGAUAUAACCAGAUACUUAUAACUCUGGUUGCUACUUUUUGUUUUCUUAACCUGUUGUUUUCUUUUAUCGAUUUCUGCAUCUAUGUAAACGGAUCACAACUUUAUCAAUAUACAUGCUAACUUUAAUUUUAA